CAUUUAGUAAUUUAGACUUUGAAGCCAUUGGAAGAAUCUUAAUUAAACCUUUUUUAGGCAUGAAAAAAUAGCUAUUACAGUGCUUGCAAAACCUAUCUUUCGCUUGGCUCAUGCGUUAUUAGGAUGAUGCUUAAAUUAUUAUUUUUUAAUGUAACUGUGUCUCCUUUGUAAGUAGAACAGCUCUAACAUCAUCACCUGUCAGGAGUUUUAGUUGUUUAAAUUGCUGAGAGCCACAAGUAGUGGUAACAAUGUUACAGGAAGGGGGAAGCUGUUACUAGACUGUCUCUAUAGUUAUCCUUUUUAUAUUUUAAAUUUGACGUUUGGUAUUCUUAAAGACCUCUGUUUGUGCUCCUGAAAUUUGACUGUUGUAAUGAUUGCAAAUGGCUAAUAACCAGGAUCUCUUCUGAGUCUGGGAACUGCUGAAGUUUGUUCUUUAGACCUGGCAGUUAUUUGCCAGUGGUUAAUAAUUAAGACAUUGCCACAGAGGUCCAAGUACCUGGAACUGGGAUUUGUUUCUGGUGACUAGUGGUGAGGAGUAGGGAAGAGUUUCUGUUGAUUUCCUGAGUCUACAUGUAUCUACUCUAGAUCCAAAGACUGACCAAGAAGUCAUGAGACUGUCCUAUCAGGUUCAGUUCUUGCUCUUUAAGAAAUUGUAAUUUCAACCACGUCUAUAAAAGAGGGAUAGAAAAAGCUCUAAGGCUGUGAUCUUAGACUUUAAAUGCUGUAGAAAUUCAUAGAAGUGAGGGAAUUAAGUGGAAAGGCUAUUGGACUGACAGAAGGCCUAAGUUUCAAAAUCUUAGAAUGCUGGAGUCAAAAGGAUGCUAAGAAUUAUCUAAUUCAACCCCUUUAUUUUUUAUUUUUUAAGAGUCAGAGUCUUACUCUGUUGCCCAGGCUGGAGCGCAGUGGUGCAGUCAUGGCCCACUGCAGCCUGGAACUCCUGGGCUCAAGCAGUCCUCCCACCUCAGCCUCCAGAGUAGCUGGGAUACAGGCACAGGCCACCGGGCCCAGCUAUCAACCCCUUUACUUUAUAGAUUAAGAAAUGUUGACUAGACAAGUGAUCUGUCCAAAUUUAAAACUAGAAAUAGAACCUUUAUCUCCCACCCUGUCUGAAUUAUUCUUUCCAUAUGUAGCUGCUUAGUUGUGUCUUUACCACUAAUUAACCAUGUGAACUCUAAGCAAGUUAUUUUACUUUUCUUCAUCUUUUUAUCUUUUGUAAAAUUAGGGGGUUAUUAUGAAUCAUUUCUAACAUCUCUGCUAAUGCCCCAGAUACUGUAAAUGACCCAGAAUGUAAUUGCGGGCAGUGUUAACUUAGCUUCCUAGAAGAUGGGGGAUAUGACUGGGCCUUGAAUAAAAUCCAAGAUUUGGCAGAGUAGAGAGGGAAAGAAUUCAUGAGAUGGGGAGCAGUAGAACAAAGGCUUAGGUGUGAAUAUGUGGCUGUAGUAAAGAGAAAUGGCCUGAUUAUAGCAAUUAUAUGAGGUUUAGUAGAACCAUUUAAGAAAGGUAAAGCCACUUCAUAGAAAUUAUUUUAUCCCUGGUUUGCUUCCUUUUUUUUUUUUUUUAAUAGCCUUGGGAAUCUUGAUUAUUUUCAAGGCUCUCUGUUUCUGUGAUCUAAUAUAGGAGACUGACAGUUUUGAAAACAUUAAUUCUCUCUCACCAAAGUAACUAUGGGGCAGAGAGAAUCACUAAUGUAACUAUAUGUGACCAGAAGAACUCUGUUGAGAAGAGAUUAUUAUUCAUCUCUGGAGAGAUAGUUUUGACUUGUGUUUAAUGAAAGAACAUGUCUGUAGGAUUAAAAAAAACUCUUAUGUUAUUUUACAUAGUGUAAGGCUAUCAACUUUUAUUAUUAAAAAUGAAAGCAGGCACUUUGGGAGGCCGAGAUUUAAAGGGUUCAUGGGAUUGGGUCAGGCCCACUUGGAUGAUUCCCCUUUCUUAAAAGUCAGUUGUGCCUGAGCCAGGCAUGGUGCUAUAUGCCUGUAGGCCCCACUACUUGGGAGGCUGAGGCAGGAGGAUUGCUGGAGCUCAGGAGUUCAAGGCCAGCCUGGCAACAUAGUGAGACCUUGUCUCAAAAACAAACAAACAAACAAAAAAACAUAGACCAAAAAAAAAGUCAAUUUUGCCUAAAAUGUAAUCUAAUCACAGGAAUGAUAUCCUAUCAUAUUCACAGUCCUGAUGAUUAUACAGGGUGUGUACAUCAGGCUAGCAAUCUUGGGGGACAUCUUAGACUUCCACCUAUCACAUUAAACAUGUUCCUCACACUAAAUUAGCCCAUGAGCAAGGGUGGAUGUCAGAAAAGAGAGAAGUAGGAGUGUAUACCGAGGGAGUUAGUGAAUUGUGUUGUGAUUAUACAUAUAAGAAAACCUGGCUGGGCAUGAUGGCAGGUGCCUUGUAAUCCCAGCUACUCAGGAGGCUGAGGCAGGAGAAUCACUUGAACCCAGGAGGUGGAGGUUGCAGUGAGCCAAGAACACAAAAACCUUUGUAGUUCCCAGGGAUCCUGGGCCUCCUAGAAUCGUCAGAGUGUAAGGACCAAGUGGCAUUCAGCUGUGCUGUUCUGGUGGUAGUCCAUUUAGCCAAGAACUCAAAUAUAAUUGUAGUUGUCUAUUACAACUUAGCCUUAACAAAAUCUUUAGAAAGUAAUGAAAUACAGGCUUACAGUGUGGGUUUAUAUUUCCCGUGUGCUGGCCACAUGGUUCUUGCAAUUACCGUCCAUGAUUAACUGUCCAUGUGAAGCACAGAAGUAGGAAUUAGAAACACUUUUUGCUAUGUAGAAUGUACUCUGUGUUCAGAGUAAUGUUUAGUCAUACUCUCUUUUUAGAUCCCUGCUAACCUCUCUGCUGCUAAGAACUACCCAAUUACCUUUUGCUUGGCUACAUGAGCAUCCUGUGCCAAGAGAC
rnacentral:lncRNA from 1 species